CAGAUAUUUCAACAGUGCCAGCGUUGAGGACACUUGGAGAAAAAAAGCCCAAAUCACUUGUCUCUUCUGAGCAGUGGAAGGCUAAGAUGGCUGUGUAUUGGUUAAAUAGAGGAGGAUUGUCAUGCACAAGGCAGCGGUGGGGGGUGGAUGGUGUGGAACUCCCACUGCUCCGGGACUGGUAGCCCCGUCAUGUGGAACAGGCCGCCACAGAUUUGCAUGGAGCCCCCCCCACCCGGCAGUUGGCGUGACGCUGCUUCCCUGAUGGAUGAUCUAUGGAGAAGCUCGCCAAGGUGGAGCGUCGCAGCACCGCCUCCCCCUGCUGUCACCGCCUAGCGUGUGACCCUCGGGCCACUGGGGUUUAAAGACAAUCCAGUGUCCCUGUGGCAGGGAAGACACACCACAUUGACCAAGUCGUCCAAAGUGCAACGACUCGACCGCAGGGAGCAGGAGGAAGAGAAAACCGCGGCCUUCGGGGAGUGGAGACAUCACAGCCACAACUAUUUUGCAGAAGAUGCUCCAGCAGCAGAUGUUCCUCAAGGGUUCCCAGGAGACUGCCAGGCUGUUAAUGGCCAAAUACCACUCUCGGCUGAGCGAGCCAAUCUGUGCCACUCACGGGCACCUCCACGUGGGGCGGGAGGAAGUCCUCGGCGCAGUCAUAUGACUGCCCGCCACACCCCCCAUGGUACAUUCCGGAAGGGGGUGGGCUGGUCACACGGCGGCGCGUGCAUAUAUGCAAAGCAGCGCACGAGGCUGGCGGCGGCAGCUCUACAGUUGUCUCACGGCUCUUCCCCUUCUGCCAAGCACAUGGACGAAGCGCCUGGACCUGUGUGCUCAACGAGGGACCCGCUAGAUGCGAAUCUUAACGGAAGCGGAACGGCCAUCAGGACAAAGGCAGAACUUCCCUCUUUUUUUGGGGGGCUCCAGCACCAUCCAGCCGUUUUUAUCUGGCAGGGAAAUGAAUGGCUCAUUAUAAUUGCCCGUUGUCAUCAUGCAUAUGACAUGUUCUGCAUGCCGAAUAUCAUUAUCGCCUAACAUUUCUCUCCUGUUUCCACCCGCGCUCACCGGCUAGGCAUUCGAACAGCGGGCAGGAGGAGGCUUGGUGGCAGUGCGAGCCGCAGCAGGAGCAGACAGCCCGGUGAGCAGCGCACUGGUGUACGGUGCCAGCAGCCCGACAACAAAACCAAGGUGGUCUGAGGAGGAAGGAAGAGAUCCCAUGCAAGCCGGAUCCAUCUCGGCAUUCAGAGGGGCAUCGACUGCAACGGAGGGAACCAUUUGAUGACACUACAAGAUAUGGAUGCUCUUUGGAUGUUAUUUUACCCUCCCCCAGUGCCCUGCUUCUUUUGUUUCUGCUGGACUAACAGCAGAGCGGGCACCACGCCACCUGGCCCCCGGGGGACCGCCUUAUCGCUCUGGGAGCAGGAUGUGUGGCACACGCCCGGGACGCGCAACAGGGAUGGCAGGCGCGUAACAUUACGAAACGUGGAGCCCAUUUGCCGGAGCAGGACGGGAGGCAGAUGGCAGAUCUGGCGCGGUGCCACGGCCGGCCGGAGUGGAUGUGCUGAGUAACUGCGCGCCAUUGAUUCCAACACUUGUUGCCGCAUGGCAAGCAGGGCCCCCCCAUCCUCCCCAACAAAUCUUUGGCAGGGAAUCUCCCUCCAUGUCACCCAUGUCAGAGGGCUCCGCUUCCCCACAUGGGAAAGUUGCUCGGUGCUCACGUGGUGCUGGGAGAGCCCCGUAUGUGCAGGAGGGGAAGGGGGAAGGUAUGUAGGCGUUCGCGUGGGAGGGAGGGGGUGACGACAAUGUGGGGGCUUCUUGGCUUAAUGUUGAGUGGAAGGCUGGCAUUGAAGGCUACAGUUAUGCGCCGCAUAUUAAUAAGUGCUGAGUCGACAGCCUCCUCCCUCUCCCGAGUGUGCCACCGGAAUAGUCUUUAUGGGGAGAUACCACACACUGAGCGCGGAGGCAGGAGUAUCUACGCCACCACCGAAACCCGACGCAGGGCAAAGGGAACUCCACCACCACCACCUGACGUGAAGAUGAAGCUCGUGCCAGGGCUGUUUUAAUGGGGUGGGCUUGUUUUGUGUUUGUUUUUCCAGGUAUCCAUAUUUCGACUUGCAGCAGAUUGUUCAAUAAACGGCUCCCAGUCUGGAUAAAGGGAGACA
rnacentral:lncRNA from 1 species